rnacentral:rRNA from 1 species
AGAGUUUGAUCCUGGCUCAGAUUGAACGCUGGCGGCAGGCUUAACACAUACAAGUCGAACGGUAACAGGAAGGAAGCUUGCUUUCUUUGCUGACGAGUGGCGGACGGGUGAGUAAUGCUUGGGAAUCUGGCUUAUGGAGGGGGAUAACUACGGGAAACUGUAGCUAAUACCGCGUAAUAUUCUUCGGAUUAAAGGGUGGGACCGUAAGGCCACCUGCCAUAAGAUGAGCCCAAGUGGGAUUAGGUAGUUGGUGGGGUAAAGGCCUACCAAGCCGACGAUUCUUUAGCUGGUUCUGAGAGGAUGACCAGCCACACUGGAACUGAGACACGGUCCAGACUCCUACGGGAGGCAGCAGUGGGGAAUAUUGCACAAUGGGGGGAACCCUGAUGCAGCCAUGCCGCGUGAAUGAAGAAGGCCUUCGGGUUGUAAAGUUCUUUCGGUGAUGAGGAAGGCGGUUGUUUUAAUAGAACAAUCGAUUGACGUUAGUCACAGAAGAAGCACCGGCUAACUCCGUGCCAGCAGCCGCGGUAAUACGGAGGGUGCGAGCGUUAAUCGGAAUGACUGGGCGUAAAGGGCACGCAGGCGGUGACUUAAGUGAGAUGUGAAAGCCCCGGGCUUAACCUGGGAAUUGCAUUUCAUACUGGGUCGCUAGAGUAUUUUAGGGAGGGGUAGAAUUCCACGUGUAGCGGUGAAAUGCGUAGAGAUGUGGAGGAAUACCGAAGGCGAAGGCAGCCCCUUGGGAAUAUACUGACGCUCAUGUGCGAAAGCGUGGGGAGCAAACAGGAUUAGAUACCCUGGUAGUCCACGCUGUAAACGCUGUCGAUUUGGGGAUUGGGCUUUAAGCUUGGUGCCCGUAGCU